GUCGCAAGACUGAAACUCAAAGGAAUUGACGGGGACCCGCACAAGCAGUGGAGUAUGUGGUUUAAUUCGAAGCAACGCGAAGAACCUUACCAGGUCUUGACAUCCCUCUGACCGGUCUAGAGAUAGAUCUUUCCUUCGGGACAGAGGAGACAGGUGGUGCAUGGUUGUCGUCAGCUCGUGUCGUGAGAUGUUGGGUUAAGUCCCGCAACGAGCGCAACCCUUAUGCUUAGUUGCC
rnacentral:rRNA from 2 species